ensembl:lncRNA
GGAAGAAAGCCUGCCCAAGCCUGGUUUCAUAGCAUAACACAGCAGUAGUGUUAGAGAAGUAAAAAUGGGCUGAUGAGGCUUUCAUUCAGUAACACAACAGUGGCAACUUGAAUACUAAGGAAAAAUUUCACUUUAUAUAAAUGUGUGUGUGUGUAUGUAGUGGAUGCUUUCUCCUGCAUUAUUUUUUGAUGAAGAUGUUGAGAUGGCAUAUUUGGAUGCUUAACGAAAAAACUCCAAACCAUCUUUAGCUUCAGAUGCUGAAAAGAGUUGACUGUCUGCUCUUUCCCAUAGUGGAAGCAUCCUUUUGCUGCGUGAUUGACGUUACUGUUCUGGAGGGCAGCCCACACUGACUGAAAAUGAUCCUCACAGCGCAGAGAUGCACGCUAGAUUUCUUCCCAGUUAUGCAACAUGCUGGUCAUAUGCCAAAGCAGAAAAAUCACUGUUCACAGGACCAUGCAGGAAAACACCAGAAAUGUGAGAGCUAACCUGGGAGCCACAGGGGACUGACUAGGGGAGAUCACUGGGGUCUCUGUCGAGCACUCAGCAGAUGCCCAGCUGCAUGCUCAGCUCUACUGGUUGGUGUGGAUCACCUCAAGGUGGUGAAAACCCCUUUGCAGCAGCUCCCCUGCUCUGACCUCUG